GUACCGGGGCUAAACAUAUUACCGAAGCUGUGGAUUGUCCUUUGGACAAUGGUAGGAGAGCGUUCUAAGGGCGUCGAAGCAUGAUCGCAAGGACAUGUGGAGCGCUUAGAAGUGAGAAUGCCGGUGUGAGUAGCGAAAGACGGGUGAGAAUCCCGUCCACCGAUUGACUAAGGUUUCCAGAGGAAGGCUCGUCCGCUCUGGGUUAGUCGGGUCCUAAGCUGAGGCCGACAGGCGUAGGCGAUGGAUAACAGGUUGAUAUUCCUGUACCACCUAGUAUCGUUUUAAUCGAUGGGGGGACGCAGUAGGAUAGGCGAAGCGUGCUGUUGGAGUGCACGUCCAAGCAGUAAGGCUGAGUGUUAGGCAAAUCCGGCACUCAUAAGGCUGAGCUGUGAUGGGGAGAGGAAAUUGUUUCCUCGAGUCGUUGAUUUCACACUGCCGAGAAAAGCCUCUAGAUAGAUAACAGGUGCCCGUACCGCAAACCGACACAGGUAGUCAAGAUGAGAAUUCUAAGGUGAGCGAGCGAACUCUCGUUAAGGAACUCGGCAAAAUGACCCCGUAACUUCGGGAGAAGGGGUGCUCUUUAGGGUUCACGCCCAGAAGAGCCGCAGUGAAUAGGCCCAAGCGACUGUUUAUCAAAAACACAGGUCUCUGC
rnacentral:rRNA from 1 species